GUCUCAGAAGAAGAUCAAAUUCUACACAUUUUAGCUGAUUUGGGUUUUGAAUAUGAUGCUUUUGUGAUCUCCAUUAUAACAUGGAUUGAACCUUUACGAUUCCAAGAAGUAUGUGCAAUGCUUUUGGC